UUGACCUUUAGCUUAGUUGGUCUAAAGCAUUCGGCUCAUAACCGAAAAACCGUUGGUUCAAAUCCAACAAGGUCAAU
rnacentral:tRNA from 1 species